AUACGGAGGGUGCAAGCGUUAUUCGGAAUCACUGGGCGUAAAGGGUGCGUAGGCGGUUUGAUGAGUCUGAUGUGAAAUCCUAUGGCUCAACCAUAGAACUGCAUUGGAAACUGUCAGACUAGAAUACUGAAGGGGCAGAUGGAAUUAGUGGUGUAGGGGUAAAAUCCGUAGAUAUCACUAGGAAUACCGAAAGCGAAAGCGAUCUGCUGGGAAGUUAUUGACGCUGAGGCACGAAAGCGUGGGGAGCAAACGGGAUUAGAAACCCCAGUAGUCC
rnacentral:rRNA from 1 species